rnacentral:tRNA from 1 species
GGGCCGGUAGCUCAGAGGUAGAGCACGUGACUUUUAAUCAUGUGGUCGCGGGUUCGAUCCCCGCCCGGCUCACCA